AGUGAACGCUGGCGGUAGGCCUAACACAUGCAAGUCGAACGGCAGCACAGUAAGAGCUUGCUUUUACGGGUGGCGAGUGGCGGACGGGUGAGGAAUACAUCGGAAUCUACUUUUUCGUGGGGGAUAACGUAGGGAAACUUAUGCUACUACCGCAUACUAUCUACGGCAGAAAGCAGAGGAUCUUCGCACUUUUCGCGCUUGAACUAGCUGAUUUCGGAUUAGCUAGUUUGCGGGGUAAAGGCCCACCAAGGCUAGGAUGCGUAGCUGAUCUGAGAGGAUGGUCGGCCACACUGGAGCUGAGACACGGUCCAGACUCCUACGGUAGGCAGCAGUGGGGAAUGUUGGGCAAGGGGCGAAAGCCUGAUCCAGCGAUACCGCGUGAGUUAGGAAAGGCUUCGGUUUGGGAAGCCCUUUUGUUGGGAAAGAAGAGCUGUAUGAUAAGUUGCCGCUUUUGUUACGGUACCGAAGCAAUAAGCACCGGCUAACUUCGUG
rnacentral:rRNA from 1 species